GAACCAGUCUGAUCCGUCCACUGCCUCCGAACCGUCAAUCCCGAUCAUGAGGUACCCGUCUGCCAAAACCUUAAACAGCAGAGAAUGAAUGAGAUCGUUUGAAGCGGUGUCCAAUGCUUCGUGACCAGCCUAUGUUAUGGAUGAGGGGGCUGUACAUGUGGCACCAGAAGUCAUCAGAUCCGUCCUGGCUCUCUUCGUAGACCAGCCUGAGGCGACCUCCAGUGACCUGCUCCACCAGCGCCACCCGCGUCCGGCACAGCACUUAGUUAUUCUAUGGGGGGCCAUUCGGGGUUCAGCAUCUUGCCCAAGGACACUUCGGCAUGCAGAUGGGUCAGACUGGGGAUCGAACUGCCGACCUUCAGUUUGGAGGACGACCACUCUACCCCUCAGCCACAACCGCCCCUAUAUAGGCACUGGCCACCAAAAAAGUGUCAUUUAAUUUAUUCUGUAUUAGUUU